ACCUAAAUUCCCAAAUUGAAUCAGAAACCCUAAUUCCCAAAUUGAGAAACCCUAACCCUAGCUUCCCUCUGUCUCAGCCGCACCCCACCCCUACUUCACCCUCUUCAGCUAACAUACCCACCCUUAAUACCCAAGUCAGCGCUGUUACCCUCACCACAUGACACACACAGAGACUUACCUCUCUCACUCUCAGCCUCACCAACGAACUCACACUCAUUUCCUCACUAUACACACGCACGCACACAUAUGGAGAAGACAGGAAGAGAGAGCGCCAGCGAAGAAGAGGGAGGAGCAGCGCCGCCACCGCACUCCGUCACACCCAGCCGCGUCUUGCUCGCCGUCGAAGCCACGCCGAUCGUCGCUGCCCAGUCGUCGUUCUGCCUCCCACCAAGCCCGUCCUGCCACUGACAUCGCCGAACAGAGGAGGGCGACCACCACGAGGAGCCACCGCCGUCCUUGCUCGUCAUCUCCCUUGGAGCCAUCGCCGUCGAGGACCAGCAGAGAGAGAGAACGCGUGACUUUCAGGAAGGAGGACGUGAGUCAGUGACGUAAGGAGGAGUGCGACCCACUGCGUGAAGUUGUGCCGCCGUGCCUUCCGUCGCCGUCGUGCCUUGGUGCCAUCGGAGGAAGCUGUUGCUACUGUGUGUACAGAGAUGAGGAGCGUCGCGAGAAUCAAGGGAAGGAGUCGUUGUUUUACCGCUGCUUCUGGUUUCUAAAAUCUGAGAAAACACCACUGCCGCUGCUGUUUGUUGGAUUCAAGAUCGCUGCUGCUAUUCUAGCUCUGUUCUGCCUCUACUUCAAGUUUCAGAGUUGCUGGAGCCUUUGCCACUGGGAUCGAAGAACAGAAAGAAGAGGAGGUCGUUUAACCUUGUCACUGUUGCUGCCAUUGGAGUCGCUAGGAACCAAUUUCUGGAGCUGCUCUUGAUGAUUCUGGUGCUGCUACAUAGGUUCCGAGCUGUUGUGCUGUUGCCAGAGGAAGGGAACUCAUAGGAAAAACGUCACCAAGGCUGCUGGUUGGUUUGAUUGCGUUGUUAAUGCGACAUUGAGUGACACAGGUUUGAAGAUUCAGUUUGAAGCUCCGGUCGAUUCUAGAAUUUACUUAUGAGUUAAGUUUAUAACUUGAGUUUUUUUCAUAGAAUUCCCUCGCCUUUGUAGUUUUAGUUUUUAUUUUAUGCAGAGGGA